UACGUAGGGUGCAAGCGUUGUCCGGAAUUAUUGGGCGUAAAGAGCUCGUAGGCGGUCUGGCGCGUCGGCUGUGAAAACUCGGGGCUCAACCCCGAGACUGCAGUCGAUACGGGCAGACUAGAGUGCUGUAGGGGAGACUGGAAUUCCUGGUGUAGCGGUGAAAUGCGCAGAUAUCAGGAGGAACACCGGUGGCGAAGGCGGGUCUCUGGGCAGUAACUGACGCUGAGGAGCGAAAGCGUGGGGAGCGAACAGG
rnacentral:rRNA from 1 species